GGCCCCAUCGUCUAGCGGUUAGGACGGCGGAUUCUCAUUCCGUCAACCGGGGUUCGAUUCCCCGUGGGGUCA
rnacentral:tRNA from 1 species